rnacentral:lncRNA from 1 species
AUAUUUUUACUAAGUGAUGACAAGAUAAUCCUCUUGGAAAUAACAUCACAUUGCUUCUAUUGUUGCUUGUCAUUUUUCGCGCCCUCUGUAACGGCCUCGGAACAAAUCCUUCGCGUCAAUCUUAAUCCGAGCCCCUGAUCACCUGUCUCAGUUUUUCCAGGCUUAAGUGUUCAACCUCCAAAUCUCCCGACCCUUCGAUCCGACCCCUCGCCGUGGUCUCCCCAGUUCCGACCCCACCGACCCCAAACCCACCGUCGGAUCUUCCUGAGCCAUCCC